rnacentral:rRNA from 1 species
AGGGUUUGAUUAUGGCUCAGGAUGAACGCUGGCGGCGCGCCUAACACAUGCAAGUCGAACGGCACCCACCCUCGGGUGGAAGCGAGUGGCGAACGGCUGAGUAACACGUGGAGAACCCGCCCCCUCCUCCGGGAUAGCCUCGGGAAACCGUGGGUAAUACCGGAUGACCCCGCAGGGCCGCAUGGCCCCGCGGGCAAAGCCCAGACGGGAGGGGAUGGCUCCGCGGCCCAUCAGGUAGACGGCGGGGUGACGGCCCACCGUGCCGACGACGGGUAGCCGGGUUGAGAGACCGACCGGCCAGAUUGGGACUGAGACACGGCCCAG